CCCUUAGAUGUUCUGGGCCACACGCGCGUUACACUGAUGAAGCCAGCGAGUAUAUCGCCUUCACCGGAAGGUGCGGGUAAUCUUGUGAAACUUCAUCGUGCUGGGGAUAGACCAUUGCAAUUAUUGGUCUUGAACGAGGAAUUCCUAGUAAGCAUGAGUCAUCAACUCGUGCUGAUUACGUCCCUGCCCUUUGUACACACCGCCCGUCGCUACUACCGAUUGAAUGGUUUAGUGAGAUCUCGGGAUUGGAGACGUUGCGCCGCAAGGCACAUCGUCCUCGAGAACUUGAUCAAACUUGAUCAUUUAGAGGAAGUAAAAGUCGUGACA
rnacentral:rRNA from 1 species